ACAUAGGGUGCAAGCGUUGUCCGGAAUUAUUGGGCGUAAAGAGCUCGUAGGUGGUUCGUCACGUCGGAUGUGAAAACCUGAGGCUCAACCUCAGGCCUGCAUUCGAUACGGGCAAACUAGAGUUUGGUAGGGGAGACUGGAAUUCCUGGUGUAGCGGUGGAAUGCACAGAUAUCAGGAGGAACACCGAUGGCGAAGGCAGGUCUCUGGGCCAAUACUGACACUGAGGAGCGAAAGCGUGGGGAGCGAACAGGAUUAGAUACCCUGGUAGUCCACGCCGUAAACGGUGGGCGCUAGUUGUGCGAACCUUCCACGGUUUGUGCGACGCAGCUAACGCAUUAAGCACUCCGCCUGGGGAGUACGGUCGCAAGAUUA
rnacentral:rRNA from 1 species